GUCAGUAUUGAUGAGUUAGGAGUUUAUUACUGUACCAACAUAGACAGAACUGCACAAUUCAGCAACAGCACCAGACUUGAUCGGACCACACGGAUCCUUGACCCAACUCAACCUUCAGAGUGUCAGAAUCACACUGUAGUGGUGCAGCCUACAGAGCCGACAUUGUGGCAGACUGUUACUGUCAUAUUUGGUCUGAUCAGUGUUGUUGUUCUGGUAAUUGGGUUCAAAGCAUUCUUAGGCCUGUUUUUUGCUGGUCACAGUAUCAAACACCCACAACGACAAAGAAACUGACCUUCUGCAGCUUCAACUGAUAGAUCCUGAAUACGCUGACCUGAUGUCCCUUUUGGGAAGUGUCCCAGUGUCCUGACAAAAUGGCAAAAAAUAAUGUCCCAGUUUCAGCUAUAAGGGUCACUGGGUUUAAUUUACAUGGAACAGAAGCCCAACAUACAUUUUAGAAUAUAACUGCAAAUUUUAUUGGAUUUACUGAAUAAGAAAUGCUUGCUUAGUUAACUUAACACUCAACAGCUGUCUGUUUACGAACAGUGUAGCCAUUUCUGAGUAGCCAUUAUUUCAUGUUACUUAAUAGCAUACUUUGUAAAAGAUUGUAUAAAAGUGUUUGUAAUGCAUUUUCAACCAGUCGUGUUCAUUGUUAUGUUAUCGCAGCAAAAAUAAAUUCAGAGCUGCUUUUACAGGAAAUUACUUUGUAAUCUGGUCACCAUGACAGCUUUGUGUGUGUGAUGCCACUCUUUGAAAUUAUAAUAAAAGCACUUGAAUAUG